UUUAAUUCUUUAUUGUUCACAGUACACAUAUUGGAACACACACACAGUUUCUCACAGCAGCAUACAUAAUACUGCACUUUCUUAUAGAAGAGUCUUUGUCCCUCAUGGACACAGCAAUUAAUUCCCACGAAGCGAGUCAGCAUAUAACUUUCUAAAACUGAUAGAAGGAAACCAGUACAUUCAGAAGCACACCAUAAGCAACAUGCAGGUCUUUGAUGUUGUCAGAAGUAAUAUGAAGCUAAGCAGUACGUGCUUUUUGAUUUUAUAUUUAAUCCUGAAGCUUAAGUUUGUGAAGGGCUAGGUUCCUGAGCUAGCUCUGAUCUCUAUGUUUAUCACAAUUUGAUAAGUCCAGAGUUGUUAUGGAUCCUUGAAUAAUAUACAUAGGUAUAAAUACUUUUAUAUAUUGUGACAAUAUGAUAUA